GCUUAUGGCCUUACCAGCCGAAGAACGCCGAUCUCGUCUGAUCUCGGAAGCCUUAAGGAGGGUUGGGCCUGGUUAGUACUUGAAUGGGAGACUGCCUGGGAAUACCAGGUGCUGUAAGCU
ensembl:rRNA 5S_rRNA 5S ribosomal RNA